UCUGGUGACUAUAGCAAGGAGGUCACACCUGUUCCCAUGCCGAACACAGAAGUUUAGCUCCUUAGCGUCGAUGGUAGUCGAACUUACGUUCCGCUAGAGUAGAACGUUGCCAGGC
rnacentral:rRNA from 1 species